rnacentral:rRNA from 1 species
GAUGAACGCUGGCGGCGUGCCUAAUACAUGCAAGUCGAGCGAACAGACGAGGAGCUUGCUCCUCUGACGUUAGCGGCGGACGGGUGAGUAACACGUGGAUAACCUACCUAUAAGACUGGGAUAACUUCGGGAAACCGGAGCUAAUACCGGAUAAUAUAUUGAACCGCAUGGUUCAAUAGUGAAAGACGGUUUUGCUGUCACUUAUAGAUGGAUCCGCGCCGCAUUAGCUAGUUGGUAAGGUAACGGCUUACCAAGGCAACGAUGCGUAGCCGACCUGAGAGGGUGAUAGGCCACACUGGAACUGAGACACGGUCCAGACUCCUACGGGAGGCAGCAGUAGGGAAUCUUCCGCAAUGGGCGAAAGCCUGACGGAGCAACGCCGCGUGAGUGAUGAAGGUCUUCGGAUCGUAAAACUCUGUUAUUAGGGAAGAACAAAUGUGUAAGUAACUAUGCACGUCUUGACGGUACCUAAACAGAAAGCCACGGCUAACUACGUG